rnacentral:lncRNA from 1 species
GCCCAUCUAAAUAUAUACAAAUUGUGUUUCCAAAUCAUUAGGUAAUGUAGAUGCAACUUGUUCUUUAGUUUUACUUGGAUCAAAUAGUAUUGAUGCAUUCUAAUCACACUACUAAUGAGAUGAGUAAGAGUUGUCACUUCUUCACCAAUGUAUUGACCAUCUUCAUCCAAAUCAAGUACUACAAUUUCACCUUCUUCCAAUUACGAUGUAUCUAGCAUUCUUGUUGUCCUUUAUGUUGCUUUGGUUCUACAUCCACAAUAUUCAAAACAAAAAGUCAUGUAAAUUGAAGUAGUAUGUUUACAUAAAUAUAACAUAAAAAGGAAAUGACAUAUUACUUAUGAAUUUCAGGAUUUAUUUCCUUCAUGGUUUUAUGAAGAAGUGUGGAAGGAAAGUGAAAAUUAUCCAAGAGAAUAAAUCCACAUUUUUUGUUCCAGAAAGAUCAUCUAAAUUACAUUAAACCAUAAGUUUUAAUCUUAUAAAAACACUAGGAAGACAAAAAGAGCUCAAGAUACGUUAAACCAUAACAUUGAAAAAGUUAAACAAAUGUAAGCAACAAAAUCUGAAACUUGUGUGGAUUAUUGGCCUAAACAUGUACUUAACUAUCUAACUGCAGUCAAAGAAUAUUCCGACCACAAACUCAAGGAGCAAUGGUGUGAGAUGAGAAGUAAUGCUCUAUUAAGGAACUCGCACAUGCCAAAGAGUACAUGUUGUGACACAAAUAUCACCAAAGUUCUAACUAACUACUUAUAAUGUUCCAAACAUGUCAUUUUCUGUUUUAAUUGUAGUAGUGUUUCCAAGGCUAAUCUAAGGCCCAUGUUUAGGAAAAUUCUCCAAAAUGAAGCUCGAGAACUUACACUCAAUUGUCUUGUAUGACAGUAUUUACACUUUCUCCCCAUUAUGUACUUGUUGUUGUUGUCUGUUCAUUGGUUGUCGAUGACUUUUACAAUGACCUCCUAUACUAAUUCACCAGUGAUUCAUGAUGGUUUACAUCAUAACCAUGACCAAACUUGUAAAAUCUUGAUGUUGAAGGGUAAGAACUCUCCUGCAUAUACAAAAGCAAUUUUUAAUUUAUUUUUUACGUGAAUACUAGAAACCAUUCUAUUAGUCUUCCAUUAAUAGUAACAUAACAAUAACAUUUAAAAAGUAUUAAAUAUGAUACAGAAUAAAUAGUUUUUUCAACACCUCUACAUUAAGAAAAACAAUGAAGGAACUGCAACAAUUUCAAACAAAACAAAGCAAAAAAUGUCAUAAACAGAACAUAGAUCACAUUCUUUCCGGGCGCCUGAGCAUGUGAUGCACCAAAAAAAUGAAGUUGAUAUGUUCAUAGGUGAGACCUUCAAAAUAUUCAAUAUAGCUCCCUAAUAUAUUAUAGGGGUAGCCGUUGUUGCUAUAAUGGACCUCCAUAUUUGGGCUCCUGCUCAUUUUGAUUCCUUCCCUUUAGACAAGUAAUCUGCAGAGUGAAUUCAUAGACUAUUAAAGAGCGGGUAAAAACAUAAUGAGGAGCACAAAUAACAAACCAUAAGAGCCUUAAAACAACCAUUAUCAUAUACAACUACAUUCUUCACAGAUUCACCAAGCCAUAAGAUUCAUUAAAAAAUUGAUGAAGUAAUUAACACCAAAAACCAUUUGUCUUCCAAUGUUUGAGCUACUCCUAAAAUGUGAACCUCCAAAAUGUCAGGCGGCGGAUGUGAAGGAAAAUGCCAUUAAUUAAAAUAAAUGAUAUUUCCAUUUCCAUUAAUUAUUUCUUACAUCAAUGCAUUUUCAAUGAAGAUUCACUAAACGACGUCAGGCGGUGGAUGCGCUGGCGAUACGCUAGCGAAGCUAGAGGUGGCUCGACAGACACUAUAGUGUGGGGUUCAGAGACAUCGUCCAGAGGAGUCGGGGAUGCAAUGAGGAAACGACAUCGUAGAGCUUCCAUAGCCACUGCGAGACACUCUCUCCACGAGAAAGCCAAUACAUGAACCCACACAGGGAGAGGUAAGGAAAUCGACGGCCACACCAGAAAUCAUAGAGAACACACAGAAUCGUGGUCGUCGUUGCUGACAUUCCUGGGGUAAGAGUCCCUAGGUACAAACCCUAAUUCAACUAAUUCAUGGUUAGCUAUGUAGUUUAUGGGUAAUUUCACAAACCCUAAUUCCACUAUGGAAAAUUCGAAUAGAAAAAAAGGAUUAGGAAGUAAACCUUGAAACGAGAAAGAGAACGUUGAGUGGCAGGGAG